GAUGAAGAACGUAGCGAAAUGCGAUACGUAGUGUGAAUUGCAGAAUUCAGUGAAUCAUCGAAUCUUUGAACGCACAUUGCACCUCUCGGUAUUCCGGGAGGUAUGCCUGUUCGAGCGUCAUUUGUACCCUCAAGCUCUGCUUGGUGUUGGGUGUUUGUUCCGCCUCUGUGUGUGAACUCGCCUCAAAACAAUUGGCAGCCGGCGUACUUGUUUCGGAGCGCAGCACAUUUUGCGAUCCAGAUCAACGUACAGCGGCAUCCAAGAAGCCUUAUUUAACGCUCUUGACCUCGGAUCAGGUAGGGAUACCCGCUGAACUUAAGCAUAUCAAUAGCGAGGA
rnacentral:misc_RNA from 1 species